CUUAGGGGCCCGAACUUCUCGCUACCUUGAGGAAGUCGAUUUUCUUCUGCCAGUGUUGGGUUCCCUCUUAGUGACUGAGGGUUUUUGACAAGAGUCUCCUUCCUCGUUGAGACGAGGUUUCUUGUGUCUUUGAUGUAGUUUGUUUUUUCCUUAUCACUGGCGUAGCUCGUCGCUUUCUCUUUUUCUCUUUUUUUUUUUGUGUUCGAGUGAGGAUUUUCCC
rnacentral:lncRNA from 1 species